rnacentral:other from 1 species
ACAGUUAUAAAUCAACAUAUUGAUUUAUAAGCAUGGAAAUCCCCUGAGUGAAACAACGAAUUGCUGUGUGUAGUCUUUGCCCAUCUCCCACGAUGGGCUUUUUUUUAA